CAGUAGCCGCGGGAAUACAGAGGGUGCGAGCGUUAAUCGGAUUUACUGGGCGUAAAGCGUGCGUAGGCGGCUUUUUAAGUCGGAUGUGAAAUCCCUGAGCUUAACUUAGGAAUUGCAUUCGAUACUGGGAAGCUAGAGUAUGGGAGAGGAUGGUAGAAUUCCAGGUGUAGCGGUGAAAUGCGUAGAGAUCUGGAGGAAUACCGAUGGCGAAGGCAGCCAUCUGGCCUAAUACUGACGCUGAGGUACGAAAGCAUGGGGAGCAAACAGGAUUAGAUACCCCAGUAGUCCCUGUCUCUUAUAA
rnacentral:rRNA from 1 species